GAAGGUAUAGCUCAGUGGUAAAGCACAUGCUUAGCAUGCAUGAGGUCCUGGGUUCAAUCACCAGUACCUCUA
rnacentral:tRNA from 1 species